AGAGCAGCAAAGCGCCGCUAGUGUGAAAGAGGCUGAAGCUGCUCAUGCUGCUCAUAAGAGUGAGGAAGCAGCAAGAUUAGCUCGAGCUCAAGCUUUGGAAUCCGCUCAAGCUGCUGUUCACGCUCAGGCUCAACUCGCAGCAGCUAAAGCUAGAGCAGCAGCUGCGCAGAGAAUAGCGGCUGCGAGGGAAGCUGCUGCAGCGAUGGCGAUUCAAC
rnacentral:misc_RNA from 1 species